UACGUAGGGGGCAAGCGUUGUCCGGAUUUAUUGGGCGUAAAAGGCUUGUAGGUGGCCACGCCAAGUCGGAUGUGAAAUCUCCCGGCUCAACUGGGAGGGGUCAUUCGAUACUGGCGGGCUCGAGGCCGGUAGGGGGAAGUGGAAUUCCCGGUGUAGUGGUGGAAUGCGUAGAUAUCGGGAGGAACACCGAUGGCGAAGGCAGGUCUCUGGGCCACUACUGACGCUGAGAAGCGAAAGCAUGGGGAGCGAACAGG
rnacentral:rRNA from 1 species